GAUGAACGCUGGCGGCGUGCCUAAUACAUGCAAGUCGAGCGAACAGACGAGGAGCUUGCUCCUCUGACGUUAGCGGCGGACGGGUGAGUAACACGUGGAUAACCUACCUAUAAGACUGGGAUAACUUCGGGAAACCGGAGCUAAUACCGGAUAAUAUAUUGAACCGCAUGGUUCAAUAGUGAAAGACGGUUUUGCUGUCACUUAUAGAUGGAUCCGCGCCGCAUUAGCUAGUUGGUAAGGUAACGGCUUACCAAGGCGACGAUGCGUAGCCGACCUGAGAGGGUGAUCGGCCACACUGGAACUGAGCCACGGUCCAGACUCCUACGGGAGGCAGCAGUAGGGAAUCUUCCGCAAUGGGCGAAAGCCUGACGGAGCAACGCCGCGUGAGUGAUGAAGGUCUUCGGAUCGUAAAACUCUGUUAUUAGGGAAGAACAAAUGUGUAAGUAACUAUGCACGUCUUGACGAUACCUAAUCAGAAAGCCACGGCUAACUACGUG
rnacentral:rRNA from 1 species